GGAUGAGCAAUAUAUUAGUCGAACAUAAGGUUUUAAGAUCACAUCAGUAUGCGACUAAGGAGGGAGGGAAGCAUUCCUAAAACAAAAAGGAAUUGUAAAUUAAUAUAAUCAGAACACAGCACAACCACCAAUGAUUAAAUGCAGCAUUCUAGAUUAAUUAAUUAAUCCUUGCUUUGAAAAUAAAAACACCCAUUUUACAACUACAAGUAAAGUAAAUCUUUUAUCUUUAGAAUGCAAUGUCAUCAAUUCAUUUUUAAGUCCCCUUAGUACUCUGUUUCGCACCUGUAUUUGAUAUAUUCAUACCAACACAAAGUAAACAAAUCUCAAAAAGGCCAAUUUGCUUCAGAGAUGAUUACCUGUGAUUUGGACUGUCAACCCAAGAGUUAGAUGUCUUCUUCGCAACAGUUUAACUUCAUUCGAGGCAAAAUAAUGUGCUUCUGCUUCACUUGUAAUACAUACUUCAUCAGGUUGAAGAAUAGGUUACAAUCCAACAUUUAGUCAUUGUUUGAACCCAGAUAAAUAGAGAAUAUAACUUCAAUGGACUGGAUGGUUCAAACAACUUUUAAACUCAGAUGCGUUCAAUUAUUAUCACAGUGGAGAUCCCCUCUUCAAUUGCUAGUCAAAUUUGUAUAGGUAGCCAAAAUUGGCAUCCUUGUUUAAAGUUCCAUUAAACAAUACACAGGAGUUAAAUGGAAGUAUGAUCACAAUAAGAAAACAAUCUCUACUUCUCCUCAAUGUAAGAUUUGACAGUACCUAUCCACUUAAUGUACUCGGUUCUAUCUUUGUUCUUCAUGUAUUCAUGCAAGAAAGCUGCCAAUUCAUCAUUUAUACCCCUUGCAUCCAAGAAUUCAUAUAGUGAAUCUUGCAGUUCAUAAUCCAAUUCCCUGUAAACAAUUAACAAUCAGAAAGGUAGGGGAAACUAACACAAAAAGAUAAGUAGAACAAGAACAAGAAGAGAGAGGGAGAGAGGGACAGAUGCAUGUUAUGAAAAAGAAAAUCAUAUGCUUCCAUUUGGAUGCUCCUAUAAUAGAACAAAAACUUUUAUCCAACAUGAUCUACUCUGGUUAGGGAAAAGAAGGUUUUCAUUCUAUAGCUUUGUUGAAACGAAAAAGUUAUUGACUAGUAUCAAGUCAGUCAUGUUGCAUCCAUCUAGUAUCUGUUUCCAUUGGUUUCAUGCAGAUAACAUCACAAUUUUCUUUCUUUCUCUUACAGUUUCUCAGCAAAUGAAAUGGUAUAUCAAAAUAAAUCAGCAAAUUAUCAUACUUGAAGUCAGGACCAACAUAAGCUUGAGCCGGCAUCUUGUCACUUGUGCCUAUGAAAAACUUUGUAAUUUCAAUCGUAUCUGGCCAAGCUGAGCACAUGAUCUCUAAGGAAUCACCAUUACCCUUGGAGAUAUUAACAAUCAAAGUAAUGUGAAGCUGCACAUUGUCCUUGGUGCUAUCACCAGAUUUUGCAAUUGGAACAGCUCCAUCAAACAUGGUUGCUUCUACCUUAAUCUCCUCAUUCCUAGCAAAUUUCCUUUUUAAUAUAACCCAUUGCUCCCCUGGCCGUUCAUCAAUUGUGAAGGAAUCAAACUUGGUAACAGGCUGCCUAGAAGGGGCAUGUUCCAACUCAUAUUGCAUUUCGUUACGAAGAAGCCUGAGGAUUUUAUCUCGAAAGGCUGUUUUGCGCAUUUCUGAUGUGUAAUUUCUGAUUAUAGUCGUUUGGUUCAAUCCCAAUUUGUCAUGGAGUAAAACGGGAUUUUGGUGGAAUUGUUGAAGUUGGGGAAUUAGGGUUUUAGAAUGGGAGAGAAGGGUUAUUCUUAGAGGACGGAUUAGGCGUGCCAUUUUUUACAGGCAAAGGGGAACAAAGGAAGCGUUUCUUCCUGUUGUAUGAGAAGGGUUCAGGGGAUUUCAUUAGGGUUUUAGGAAGACGCGUUGUGGCCUGUGG
rnacentral:misc_RNA from 1 species